GGCUAAUACCAAACAGGAGCAAAGUCAAGCAACGAUCCAGCGCUGGUUUAUGCACCUAGGAAUGACCUCCUCCCUAACAAUUUACCUUAGACAAAUUUAUCUGGUCGGCUUGUAGGAAUAUACAUCAAUUCAUUGAUUAAGUAAAGUAAUUGUUACCCCCUUUGAUGCCCCUCACUAUAGAGCACAAAAGAGGUGUGUUCUCUUUUAAAGUUUAGUUCCUUAGAUAUAAAUAGAGACCUUUAUUGGCUUUUGGAAUGCCAUUUUUAUCUUUGGAUUUUAACUUAUCAGUUGGUUCAUCUUUGACAGAAUCUUCCAUUUUCAGAUCAUUGUUUCAGGGCUUAAACAUUCUAUUUUAAUGCCACUUUUUAGGGGAUAGGAAUGAUUUGGGUUCCUUCCUAAUUGUCAUUCUGGCUUCAAAUUUAAAAGAAAAUUUUGCUUUUAAACAUUGGUAUUGUUUAAGAUUUAUGUUUCUAUUUGUUCACCCUUCAUGGAAGAGGGUUAACAACCAAAAAUAGACUGCAUGUGUGUAUUAUUUACAAUGAGUUAGAUUGUUGUCCUUCCACUCAAAGGGAAGUAUGGGCUGCUUACUUAUUAUCAAAAUUUAAAGAACACUAAAUACCAAUUAAAUUGUUGUUUUAAGGACGACAAUUUGGCGGUAAAAUACUAAAAUCGGAGCAUAAACCCUUUGACAGAAUUUCACGAUGUCAGCACUUAUAUCUGUGCGCAUUCAUGCCCAUCUACCCGUUCGUAUAUCUAGGCCAGCCGCCUUUUCGUAACGUACAGAGGCCUGACCCCACUUUUAUCGCUUUAUCUUCUCCUAUCUGCUCUGCUGCGACGUUCAAGAUCAAGUGACAAGCGCUGCGUGCAACUUCUCCAGCAGCGUUGACAUGCAGGCACGUGUCCGCGUGCGCAAGCUGCCGGCUCGUGACGCCUGACUGGAGGCACGCGCGGCUGCUCACGAGCCCUUCCUGCUUUGAUGGUGUGGCCUUGAAAAAAGAACAAAAAAAAAAAAAAAAAGAAGGGAAGAAAAAUGAAACAGCAGUCAAUACUAAACGUCCACUGGUUGCUAUGGGGAAUUUCCUAAUUCAGACGUCAACAACUGUUUUUGACAGUUCUUUUUAAUUUUAGCACAGCAAACUGGCUAUUUAUUUAUAAAUGACUUUUAACAUUUUCCAAAUCCAAAAAAGGUGCUUUUAGAUUUUGUAAAAUCAUUUUUCUUUUUGCUAAAACAAAGAGUGAAGACCGUGUUUUCUUGAUUACUUGAUGCAGAACAUCUGCUGGAACAGCCAGUGCAGAACAGGCUGCAAUUCUGCUUCCACUUUGUAGUCUGUCUGUCUUCAUGCUUUGUACCACAACAGAUUAAGCACAUCCUAUUGAUUUAAGUUCAUUUAGCCUUACUGAAAGUUACCAAAUUAAAGAAGAAGUUAAUGUAAUUUUAAUUUAAAAGGCACCAUGCAGCCUAAUUCCUGGGAUUUUAGUGUGCUAGCUGCUGGCCAAAGCUGACUAAAUAACAAGCAAGCCAUCCUUGCAUGCUCUCGAUGGAAAAGCCCUGUCCAAAUGUCAUAUAGCUGUGGUCUGCCUAACAAGAUGCUUCCCAAACCUGGAGAUCCUAUGGGAAAAGCCUGCUGCUGUGCGUCAGAGGAGAAAGUCACUCCUUCAACACACGAGUGGGCGUGAUGACACAGGGUCUUCAGAAAGACAGAUUGGGAGGGAUCAGUGCAAGCAGAGAAAACAGGGAAAGAGGAAAAUGAGAUGAGAUGUUGAAAGCCACAUGUUUUGUUCACAUAAUAAAGCGGUAAAGCAACAAAAAACAGCCAAGGACAGUACCUGUAUCAAUGUUCCAGUUACUACCCAUUUUAUUAUCUUCUCCUUAUUUUAACCAAUCUUUUCAUACUUUAAUGUUUUUUUGUUUCUUGUUUCACUUAAGAUUCCUCCAAUUCAAGGUCACUGUUUCAAUGUAUUAUCUUGGUUCCCAACGAUUAUUUACAAAAAUGGUAUAGAAAAUUCAUAAACCUGUUAAGAAAUAUGCCCAAUUGUCUUCUACUUUGUUUUAUGGUUCAAACACUCGGUUUAAUUUAUUUUCACAGGUGCUCAUGACACUUCACAUAUGUUUUACAUAUGUGGUGUAACACAAAGAUUUUCUGCAAUGGCAUCAUUAACUUGACUGAAAGAAAUGGAGGGAAUAGAGAAGGCAGCAGUGACUUUACCACUGCAAUAGCUGCUAUCCGUCAACAACGUGGCCCAAAAGGACGUAGGAAACAAUCCAUCACAGACAACAAAGGAGCAGUCACAGGGUGCUUUCUUCCAGGAGCCGAUCCCUUGGGAUAGAAAUGUGUAACCUUCUGUUCCUAAAGGGAACAAUGUUACAGACAAGGGUAAUUAGAUAUUCCCUUCAAUUUGCUGUCAUUUCUCUUUCAAACUGCAUGUCAGUCCUCCAUUAAUGGCAAAGUUCAUAGUGGCAAUAGAUU